UACGAACCGUGCGAACGUUAUUCGGAAUCACUGGGCUUAAAGGGCGCGUAGGCGGGCCGACGAGCCAGGGGUGAAAUCCUCCAGCUUAACUGGAGAACAGCCUUUGGGACCGGCGGACUCGAGGGGUGCAGGGGCAUGCGGAACUCAGGGUGGAGCGGUGAAAUGCGUAGAGAUCCUGAGGAACACCGGUGGCGAAAGCGGCGUGCUGGACACCUACUGACGCUGAGGCGCGAAAGCCAGGGGAGCAAACGGG
rnacentral:rRNA from 1 species